GCCCCCAUAGCUUACUCUAAAGCAUGGCACUGAAGAUGCCAAGACGGUACUUACCACACCUGCGGGC
rnacentral:tRNA from 1 species